rnacentral:rRNA from 1 species
GACGAACGCUGGCGGCGUGCUUAACACAUGCAAGUCGUACGCUGAAGCUCAGCUUUUGUUGGGUGGAUGAGUGGCGAACGGGUGAGUAACACGUGAGUAACCUGCCUCCUUCUUUGGGAUAACGCCCGGAAACGGGUGCUAAUACUGGAUAUUCACUGGUCUUCGCAUGGGGGUUGGUGGAAAGGGUUUUUCUGGUGGGGGAUGGGCUCGCGGCCUAUCAGCUUGUUGGUGGGGUGAUGGCCUACCAAGGCUUUGACGGGUAGCCGGCCUGAGAGGGUGACCGGUCACAUUGGGACUGAGAUACGGCCCAGACUCCUACGGGAGGCAGCAGUGGGGAAUAUUGCACAAUGGGCGCAAGCCUGAUGCAGCGACGCCGCGUGAGGGAUGGAGGCCUUCGGGUUGUGAACCUCUUUCGCUCAUGGUCAAGCCGCAACAAUGGUUGUGGUGAGGGUAGUGGGUAAAGAAGCGCCGGCUAACUACGUG